rnacentral:rRNA from 1 species
UACGUAGGGUGCAAGCGUUAAUCGGAAUUACUGGGCGUAAAGCGUGCGCAGGCGGUUAUGUAAGACAGUUGUGAAAUCCCCCGGGCUCAACCUGGGAACUGCAUCUGUGACUGCAUAGCUAGAGUACGGUAGAGGGGGAUGGAAUUCCGCGUGUAGCAGUGAAAUGCGUAGAUAUGCGGAGGAACACCGAUGGCGAAGGCAAUCCCCUGGACCUGUACUGACGCUCAUGCACGAAAAGCGUGGGGAGCAAACGAGG